UACGUAGGGUCCAAGCGCUACCCGGAAUUACUGGGCGUAAAGAGUGUGUAGGUGGGAAUUUAAGUGAGAUGCGAAAUCCGGCGGCUCAACCGUUUGGACUGUAUCUCAAACUGAAUUUCUAGAGGAUGGCAGAGGCAAGUGGAACUUGCGGUGUAGGAGUGAAAUCCGUAGAUAUCGCAAAGAACACCAAUGGCGAAGGCAGCUUGCUGGGCCAUUCCUGACACUGAGACACGAAAGCGUGGGGAGCGAACAGG
rnacentral:misc_RNA from 1 species